GUCUCAGGCCGUAUCAGCCUGAAGGCGCCCGAUCUCGUCUGAUCUCGGAGCUAAGCAGGUCGGGCCUGGUUAGGAUCUUGGAUGGGAGACCACCUGGGAAUCCCGGGUGCUCGAGGCU
rnacentral:rRNA from 1 species